rnacentral:rRNA from 1 species
CGCGUAGGCGGGCCAUCAAGUCAGGGGUGAAAUCCUCCAGCUCAACUGGAGAACAGCUUUUGAUACUGGUGGUCUGGAGGGGGGUAGGGGCAUGUGGAACUUCCGGUGGAGCGGUGAAAUGCGUAGAUAUCGGAAGGAACGCCGGUGGCGAAAGCGACGUGCUGGACCCUUUCUGACGCUGAGGCGCGAAAGCCAGGGGAGCAAACGG